AGGAAAAAAAAGCCUAAAACGAGCCUUGUCUAAGAGCUAGCCACCGCAGGUGCUGGACUCUUCUAGAAAACAUGUCCCGUCGGCCUGGUCUCUCUUUGUAAACACUGAUAACUGCUGGUUGGUUGGCCAGAGUUUCUCAUCAAGGAGUACAUGCUGUUUGCUCCCCAGAUGGACAGCCUGGAUGAGCUACAAAUCCACAGAGCCUGGGACACAAGGUGAAAAACCAGUAUGCUGGCAUGGAGAUAUGACCUUCAUAUAGAGUCAAACAUAAGAAAGUAGAUGUCGGUACAUUAGGUAUGGUAUGUAUCACUUUGUGUUAAAAAACACACUAAUGUUUAUAUUAUGUCAUUAAGGGUAUUUAUCCUAGUGGUAAUUGAAGUUAUUUUGG
rnacentral:lncRNA from 1 species